UGCCUUACAUAAAAAUUGAGAAUUUCUUAUAAAGUAUAAAUAAUCGAGGUAAUAAAAUUUUUUGCAUCAAAAUAUAUUAAUAAUCAUUUUCGAAUCAAAUCAAUAAAAUUUAGCAAGCUCCCGUGAAACCAAAUAAUAUUUAAAAUCAUGCACAAAUCAUAACUCGCCCCAUAUGCGAGGAAUUACAUAUUCAUUUCACAGAUAAACAA
rnacentral:lncRNA from 1 species